UUGUCUUAGGUGCCAUAAUGAGAAUAGUAUCUACCUGGGGAUGGGGACUGGGGGCAUAGUGGAUGUGAGGAUCAUGGGAUGCUGGACACAUGCAGAACUCCAGGGAUCCUGAUCUUGAAACCGGGCACAGGAGUGUUGUGGGGGAGGGUUCCUUCUGUCUAUAUCCUGUGCCUUCUCACCUUUCCCAGGCUAUUCCCUCUGCCUGAAAUGCCCUUCCCGGCCCCCUUUCCCAGGCUGACUUCUACUCAUUAUUUAGGUCCCAGUUCAAUUGUCACCUCCACUGGAAAGCUCUUGCGGAUCCUCCUCCACGUGCGGGCUCAGUUCCACCUCUGUGUCCCCAGCCUCGCCCUGCUCACCCUGGGCUGGGUCACUCCGAGCUCUGUGGGGCAGGGACCCUGCUCGUCUGGUCUGCACUGCAGCCCUGGUGUCCAGCCCGGGGCCUGGCGUGUGGCAGGUGCUAACAAACGGUUUGUUCAGUGCCGCUCCCUCCCUGAAGGAUGGAACCAAUGACUGGCAUUCCCAGCAUGCUGCCGGGGCCUGGGUGUCUGUGUCCUAAGUCUCGUGUUGAAAACCUAAUGCCCAAGGUCAUGGACUGGGAGGGGGUCUGCCCUCAUGAAUGGGUUAAUGCUCUUAUAGAAGAGGCUGCCAAGAGUUCCCUAGCCCCUUGGGCCAUGUGAAGACGCGAGGAGAAGUCAGCUACCAGGAAGAGGGCCCUCCCUUGGCCACGUUGGCUCCCUGCUUUGAGACUUCCAGCCUCCAAAACUGUGAGAAAUCAAUUCCCGUUGUUUAUAAGCCACCCAGUGUCUGGUAUUCUGUUACAGCAGCCCAAACGGACUGAGCCACAUGCCCACCUCCCCUGGCUCUCCAACCCUCAUCCCUCUUUGCAGGGAACCAGGAAGCUGGCAGCUUGGGUGGCAGCAGCUAGAUUUGAAUCCCUCAUGGCAAGAGCUGCCCGGAUGUUAAGCCAGCUUCCCUGCUCGGGAGCUCACUUGCUUUCUCCGGAUCGACCCGGUCAGGUGGAUCCUGCUGGGGAGACUCCGGCUUUGAGCUGCCCACCUUUGACGCCUCCAGGAGCAGCAGAAAAGGCUGACGUGGGAUCAGCCAGGCCUGGGAUUGAAUUCCAGUCCCACCACAGUCUAGCUGGGCAUCCACAGGCAAAUGCCUUCAUCACCCUGCGCCAUGGUUCUCAGGGAAUGUUUGUUGAUUGACUGACUGAGUGACUAAAAGAAUGAAUGAGUGAAGGAAUGAUUUAACGAAUGAAUGGCCAGCUCCAGGAUGCUGAUUGGAAGCUGGUGGGGGCUGGAGAGGAGGCUCCAAAUCCACCCCAGGCCCUCUAGGCCUGCCUUCUGGCCUCCCGCAGGGCCUUCCAUCUUUUGCCUCAUGGGGGUGGGGGUAGAGCAGGGGCAGGGGCUGGACUCCCCAGCCUCUGUCCUGCCCCCAAAUGCGCACAAUCUUCGUGACACUGUUUAAUUUUACAAGCCCCUCGGCUUUUAUGAGGGUUAUUUAUAAAGCUCCCGUCUUUGAUCCGCAGCAUAAGAAAGCAAACUCCUGUGUCUGAAAAUGUCACUGGGGAUUAGGGGAGCCUUUGAAGUCUCCUCCCUGCUGGCCGCCCCUGCCCAGCUUCUCCUCCAAAGGGCCUCCAAACCUGGCCAGGCCCUGGGGGCCCUCCUUUGAGGUGGAAGCGGCCCGGGUCCAGAUGAGUGACAGUCACGUGACAGCUGGAGGGGUUCAGGCUAGCUCCCCGCGUGGCGAAGAGAGGGACCGAGGAGACAGAGCCGAGAAGCCAGGAUGUUUCCUGCUCCACCUGGUUCCCCCUGCAGCGGAGGCCAGAGGGAUGAACAGGACUGCCUGGCCCGGCUCCGUUCACACACUCACAGUGGCCUCAGUGCCUCUAGGAUGUCUCCCCGCUCGCUCUCUCUGGAUCUUGCAGGACCUCCGAGCGUCUCCAGAGCCAACAGCAGGUGGGGGGUGAGAUCCCAGCUUGCCGCUCUCUGAGCUGUGUGAUCUUGGGCAAGCCCUUGCCCUCUCUGACCUGCUGUUCUCCUGUUUCCAAAACAAGACCCUCACUCCACGCAAGGUCAUGUGGGAUUAAAGGAAGUCGUUCCCAGGGGCGUGUGGGAUGCUUGGAGCCCUCGAAGGAGCCAGUGGUCCCUCCUGCCUUCUUCUCCGGAUCCUGCUUCCUAUCUCAGGCCUGAGGCGCAGAGGAGGCAAAGCCGGGGCCCCAGGGAGAGAGGCCUCAGCCAGGCCCCUGCCUGCUCCCCUGCCCAGCUUUCUCCCAGACCCAAGGCCUGGCCUCAGCCGGUGGAGGACGAGGCCGCCAUGACCGCCCACAGUGCUGGCCACCACCUCUCCCUACACCUUCUGAAGGUCACCGAGGAGGGAUGUGGUUCCUCCCUUCAUGGGGCUUCAGGGGGACAGGCAAGAAGGUAGCAGUGGGUGGGUGCAGGGCAGGGGGCUGUGUGGGGGUGGGUGGAGGCGGGGCCGUGUGAGCAGAAAGGUGAACAGACAUGCGCGAACUGGUGAACGAAUAAACAACCCGCGGUCCACUUGUACCAGCGAGGACUGCUGGCGACAGAAAGGAACGGACCCCUGACACAAGCGACAACCCUCGGGAGAGUUCCACGGAACAUAUUUACAUCUCCCUCGUGCUGUUUAAAGGCUGUGCAGGAGUCCGCUGAGAGGAUGGACCAAAUUUAUUGAACCCGUCUGCUCGUGACAGGUAUUUCGGUAGGUUCCGUGUUUCAUUUUUUUGUCGUACAUUGCGCUGCCAUGAGCAUCCGUGUGCACACAGGUGGGCUUAUUCACAGGGUAAAUUCUUGUGGGUCGAAGGAUCUUUAUAUUUCAAAACUUGAUCAAAUUCAAAAUUUAAAUCUCUCAAGUCAGCCCUCUGCUUGACAUUUAGAUGUGUUUCCACCCCUCUCAGAAAAUGGACCUGACAGGCCACAUGGUCCUGCCCUAUCAAUUCUUCUGGCUCCGUCUCUCUCUGUGCUCCGGCCACACUGACCUACCUCUUCUACCACAGAGCCUUUGCACCUGCUAUGCCAUCCACCUGCAAAGCUUCCUCCCUUCUCUUGUCCUCUUCACUUGGUAACCUCCCCCUUUGCUCUUCAGAGUUCAUCCUCCAGGAAGCACUGCUUCCUCCAGGAAGCCUUCCCUGAUUGCUCUGGUGGAGCAUGUCUCUGUCACAGCCUUCAGAGGCCCUGCUCCUGACUCUGUUGCUUUCCUUCAGAGCGCUGAUCUCCAUUUAUAAAGAAAUGUGUCUUUCUGGGAUCUUGUGAACGAUGCCUGUCUCCUCACUAGACGGUGACCACCCCAGGGCAGAGAGGGGGUCUCGGGUUGGACCCUGGGACAAGGACUGGUGUGCAAGUGAUUGUUGAAGGAAGUGAUCCCGAGGGAGGUGAGUAAGGGAGUGGAGGAAGCAGGACAGAGAAGGAGAGGAAGCCAUGCAGGGCGCAAUUUCGGGGACAGCCUCAUGGAAGGGGGCCUCAGCCUGAUCCCACACAGGAGCUCAGGAGCGUGAAUUACACCACGGAGUUCUCCUGCCCCGAGGUGAGGGGGCUGGACUUCCACCUUCACCUGCGGCGUUGACUCAGGACCGCCCCAGUAGGGGCCGAGGAGGGCUCUGGGCACAUGCCAGCAAGGGGCUCCAGGAGCCAGAGGUCAGUUCUUUGAAGGAGUCACAGCUGAAGGCAGAUGGAGGAGAAGCGCACAGAAGCUGGCGGGGGGCACGUGGAAACGGUUGGGAGAUGGGAGCGGAGCAUUGAUUGUACCCACUGCACUUGAGGUCUCUUUUCUUCACUACCCUAUUUUUUUUUUUUUUUUGAGGAAGAUUAGCCCUGAGCUAACUGCUGCCAAUCCUCCUCUUUUCGCUGAGGAAGACUGGCCCUGAGCUAACAUCCCUGCCCAUCUUCCUCUACUUUAUAU